CAGGAUCGCCUGUGGAGGAAAAACCGCGCCCAGUCGGCCAUUCCCGAAUGUUUCGGCGUUGACCUGAACCGAAACUUUGACUUUUAUUGGGGAGGGGUCGAGGCGAGCACCAACCCCUGCUCGGACAUGUACCAGGGUUCGAACCCCUUCAGUGAGCCCGAGACCAGAGCGCUGAGGGAGGCCGUCUCCAAAGUCAAGAGAAGGACCAAGGCCUAUGUAGCGCUUCACUCCUACGGACAAACGUUCCUUUACCCUUGGAGUUACUCCAGAGCCAUCAACAACUCCAGCACCAGAGAGUUGAUUGACAUAGCAGCCGGGAUGACGAAGAAGAUCGAAGCUGCUGGCGGUAC
rnacentral:lncRNA from 1 species